CCUACGGGGGGCAGCAGUCGAGAAUCUUCGGCAAUGCGCGAAAGCGUGACCCAGCAAUGCCGCGUGUGUGAUGAAGGUCUUCGGAUUGUAAAACACUGUCUCCCGGGACGAAAAAUGACGGUACCGGGGAAGGAAGCCACGGCUAACUACGUGCCAGCAGCCGCGGUAAUACGUAGGUGGCGAGCGUUGUUCGGAUUUAUUGGGCGUAAAGGGUCUGUAGGAGGUUUGUUAAAUGCGGGGUGAAAUCCGGGAGCUCAACUCCCGAAUUGCCUUGUAGACUGGCAGACUAGAGUGUCGGAGAGGCAAGCGGAAUACCAAGUGUAGCGGUGGAAUGCGUAGAUAUUUGGUAGAACACCAAGAGCGAAGGCAGCUUGCUGGACGAUAACUGACUCUGAAGGACGAAAGCGUGGGGAUCAAACAGGAUUAGAUACCCCGGUAGUC
rnacentral:rRNA from 1 species